rnacentral:lncRNA from 1 species
UGUUUUAUAAGAUAAAAUAUACUUUUUUUUUUCAUUUUAAGAAUGGUUUACAAUCUUUGGCUGUAUUUGUUUCAGAAAAAUAGUAUGAUGAUUUUAUAGUGUUUAGAGGGUAAAGUAUUAAUUGUCAAGAUAGCCACUUUCAGAAUAUUCACCACUGACAAAGAAAAAAAUUAUAUUGCAACUGAAAAACUUUUAUUAUAUCAAGUUUAUGCCAUACAACUUCAAGGUCACUAAAGUUCAUAGGGUGACUCCAAUGAAAACCAGAUGGAGUGACUGAGCAAGACAAGACUUGCUGAUGUAGCACAUAGUUUCCUAUAACGUUUUCUCCUUCUGCACAGUUUCAUAAUGACCAUUAGGGUACUACAAACAAUGCCCCUCAUUUUGCUGUCUCUGUAACACACUGGGACGAACUGAGUUUCCAGCAUGCAUCCAUUUGCUCACCUGAUGUCAUUUUACUUGAUGAAGUUUUUUAAUAAGUUACCCAAAGUUAAAUAACAAUAGCACAUGAUCUUGUAUGGGUUCAGGCUCAUUCUUGGUCUCUACUCUCCUUCAUGUCUCACGGAAUUCAAUCAAUUGUCUGGUAUUGAUUUUGUAUGGGAGUCAAUCAGCCACCCUCUCUGAAAUUAUGCCAAAGGGUAGCUAUAAACUGACUUUACAAUCAGUUAACUAGACAAUAUCCUAAACAGAAAUAAUUCAAGUAAGAAAAAAUGUCAGAGACUAUGAAAUGUGAAGUAAGUAAAGAUUUAAUAAUAGCUGUCAUAUACAAAGCCCAUGUAAAUGAAUACAUUCUCAUACUUUAUCCCAACAACCAGUUGGAGUUGAUGCUAUGUCUAUCCAGACACAUGACUCUAUGGACACACAUGUCAUCUAGCUGAUGGGUGACAGUGGUGCUAUUAUGGCCAUUGCUAUUGAAUACUGGAACUUAGUCUUCUUUCCAUCUUAUCUUUCCAAAGACACCAGAAGCCCUAUUCAAUCACAGAUACUUUAAGAAAGAAAACUCCAUUUGACAAUGUCUAUAGUGCCCUGAACUUGCAUGAACUGAAACCUAAGUCUUGAUGGUUGAUGAAAGAAAAAGUUUAAAAAAAAAUUAAAUGUCACCUGAGAUUUCUCGUUUCAGGUGAGACCUUUUCCUAAUUUUCCCAUAACAUGUUAUUUUCAAUUUUUAUAAAAAUUAUUACAAUUGAUCACAUUAAGUACAGCUCCCGAUAUGUUUUUGUCAUAUCAUUAUAAUUUUAUUCCUAAAGACAAGAGGAAUGUCAGGACAGCUACAUGGGAAGAGUUCUCCAUGGGAACUCUUGAUGUGCCUUACCUUAUUGCUUCUGCUGAUCAAUUGCCUAAAUAGUGCUAUCCCAUGAAUUUUCCUGCUUUAAGAAAGCCUGAAAUUAAUUAGGAGUCUCUGGCAAGAUAGACUAGUUCAGCAGGAGACACCAUAUUUUACAUCUUACACAGUUAUUGUCCAUUCCCUUUGGCUUAAUACUUAAAAUGAGUUUCGAUUCGAUUCUGUGAAAGCCCCAUCAUAUCAGACAGUUGGUAGUAUCAUGUGAGACUUAAGGAAAGGAUUGGCCAGAACUGAACUUGACUUUAAUACAAGAUCAUGUUCUAUUAUUGUUUAACUUUGGGUAUUUCUCCCCUAGGAGGAGGACAGAGGAGAACUAACCAGCUCCAGGAUUAAGGUAAGAGGGGAGUUUUCUUUCAAAAGAAUGGCUUCCAUCCAUUUGAAGGAAACCCCUCCCCCACAUAUUUUUUAAUCCCUUUUUCUUUAUACAUUUAUAUUUUUUUAACCCACCAGCAUCAGGAAGCCAGCUUGCUACCUAUGCAUAGUAGUGAUUUCAACAUCCAUUUACAAAUUUUAUAGC